rnacentral:rRNA from 1 species
GAAAGUAAUGAAGGGCGUACGGUGGAUGCCUAGGCUCUUACAGGCGAUGAAGGACGUGAUAAGCUGCGAAAAGCCGCGGUGAGGCGCAAAUGGCCCUUGACCCGCGGAUCUCCGAAUGGGACAACCCAAUAUCUUGAAGAGAUAUUAUCCCGCCGAUGCGGGAGGCGAACGCGGGGAACUGAAACAUCUUAGUACCCGCAGGAAAAGAAAAUAAAGAAUGAUUCCCCCAGUAGUGGCGAGCGACCGGGGAAGAGCCCAAACCGACGUUGUCUCGGCAUCGUCGGGGUUGUAGGACCGCGCCAUCGCAAGAAAGGCCGUGAGUGGAAGCGACUGGAAAGCCGCGCCAUAGAGGGUGACAGCCCCUUACACGAAGCAGCCCGAAGCGUAGCGGACUCCUGAGUAGCGCGGGACACGAGUAAUCCUGUGUGAAUCCGCCGGGCCCAUCCGGCAAGGCUAAAUACUCGUAAGAGACCGAUAGUGAACCAGUACCGUGAGGGAAAGGUGAAAAGGACCCCUUGCAGGGGAGUGAAAGAGUUCCUGAAACCGUACGCCUACAAGCGGUCGGAGCAUCUUGAAUGAUGUGACGGCGUGCCUUUUGCAUAAUGAACCUACGAGUUGCCGUCACCAGCGAGGUUAAGUGCGAUGACGCACCGAGCCGCAGCGGAAGCGAGUCUUAAAAGGGCGCAAUAGUUGGUGGAGGCAGACGCGAAACCGAGUGAUCUACACUUGUCCAGGAUGAAGUCCCGGUAACACGGGAUGGAGGUCCGCACCAAUAAGCGUUGAAAAGCUUCUGGAUGAGGUGAGUGUAGGAGUGAAAGGCCAAUCAAACUCGGAGAUAGCUCGUACUCCCCGAAAGGCAUUUAGGUGCCGCCUGUGGCGUUCCCGACGUGAGGUAGAGCGACUGAUAGGAUGCGAGGGCUUCACCGCCUAUCAAGUCCUGACAAACUCCGAAUGCACGUCGGCCAAGCCAUGGAGUAAGGGCAUGGGUGCUAAGGUCCGUGCCCGAGAGGAGAAGAAUCCAGACCACCGGCUAAGGUCCCGAAAUACUGGUUAAGUUAGACUAACGCAGUCCGGCCCCCAAGACAGCUAGGAUGUUGGCUUGGAAGCAGCCAUUCAUUCAAAGAGUGCGUAACAGCUCACUAGUCGAGGAGCUGGGCGUGGAUAAUAAUCGGGUAUGAAACCAGUUACCGAAGCCGUGGGAUGCUUAAGCAUCGGUAGGGGAGCAUUGCAUGCGGCUUAGAAGGCGGGGCGCGAGCCCCUCUGGAGCGCAUGGAAACGCAAAUGUAGGUAUAAGUAACGACAAGGGGGGUGGGAUGCCCCCCCGCCGAAAGACCAAGGUUUCCUGAACAACGCUAAUCGGUUCAGGGUCAGUCGGGUCCUAAGCAUAAGCCGUAUGGCGAGGGCGAUGGACGAAACGGUUAAUAUUCCGUUACUGUCUUGGUGUGUGACGCGGCGACGGAGUAGUGACACGGCCGCCUCCUGACGGAAAAGGGGGUUGAAGCGCAAAGGUGUCGAGGAAGGCAGGCAAAUCCACCUUCCGAGCCGAAGCGCGAAAGUACGCCGGGCCCUUUGGGGCAAGGCGAUAGUGCCGGUAAUCAGACUUCCAAGAAAACCCGCUAAACUUCAGCACCAAGUCACCCGUACUCUAAACGGACACACGUGGUCGGGUAGAAUAUACUAAGGCGCUUGGGAGAUUCACGGUUAAGGAACUAGGCAAAUUGACCCCGUACCUUCGGAAUAAGGGGUCCUCGCUUUUGCGAGGCGCAGAGAAUAGGUCCAGGCAACUGUUUAACAAAAACACAGGGCUGUGCAAAUUUGAAAGAAGAAGUAUACAGCCUGACACCUGCCCGGUGCCGGAAGGUUAAGAGGAGAGCUCAUCAGCGAUGAGAAGGUUUGAAUUGAAGCCCCGGUAAACGGCGGCCGUAACUAUAACGGUCCUAAGGUAGCGAAAUUCCUUGUCGGGUAAGUUC